rnacentral:rRNA from 1 species
UACGUAGGGCGCAAGCGUUGUCCGGAAUUAUUGGGCGUAAAGAGCUCGUAGGCGGCCAGUUGCGUCCGCUGUGAAAUCCCGGGGCUUAACCCCGGGCGUGCAGUGGAUACGGGCUGGCUAGAGGCAGGCAGGGGAGAACGGAAUUCCCGGUGUAGCGGUGAAAUGCGCAGAUAUCGGGAGGAACACCGGUGGCGAAGGCGGUUCUCUAGUACGGUACUGACGCUGAGACGCGAAAGCGUGGGGAGCGAACAGG